UACGAAGGGGGCUAGCGUUGCUCGGAAUGACUGGGCGUAAAGGGCGCGUAGGCGGUGAACACAGUUAGGCGUGAAAUUCCCGGGCUCAACCUGGGGGCUGCGUUUAAUACAUGUUCGCUUGAGUUCGGAAGAGGGUCGUGGAAUUCCCAGUGUAGAGGUGAAAUUCGUAGAUAUUGGGAAGAACACCGGUGGCGAAGGCGGCGACCUGGUCCGAUACUGACGCUGAUGCGCGAAAGCGUGGGGAGCAAACGGG
rnacentral:rRNA from 1 species